UAGAGAUAUAUACUUAAUAACACUAGAGGGCGUACUCGCUCAAAUUGCUGUGUUGACCUGGAGCGGUGGCCGCCAUUACUAAGGAGGGCAGAAAAACGAACGACCCAACAAGAUACUGUGCACAACAUACGUGGAAAAAUUUGGAGAAGCCAGGUUCGUGCGAUGCAUUUGGAUGUUCGAACCGAAGAAAGAAAGGGAACUGCCUAAUAGUUCACAAGAAUACACCCAAGAGAGGAAAGGAUGUUACACACCACAUCUCCUUCCUAGAGCUGUGCCUACUGUCUUUCCUGGACUUCCUCCCUAUAAACAGACCCAUGGCUCAAGACUCCCAGCAAAACCAUGUACAACAUCCUAAAGUGUUCCCGUGCCUCCAAAGAAACCCUAUGACAUUACAAAAGAACAUGACUAUUCUUUUUCUGUCUGAGUUGAUUAGAAACUGAAUAUAACCAGACAGCAAGUGCAGGAUGCCAAGAAAAAAAAAAGUGGUGAAACAAGGUAAACAGGAAAGAUGGAAAAACCAGGACUCUCUUGCAGGAAGUCCACGAAAGCAAGCUCAUUAGCCAGGAUCAGCUUGACCUACUUCAACACAACUUUGGAGAGAACGCAUUUUCAGGCAAAAAAAACAAAACAUAGAACUUCAUUCGUACAAACUACAAAGACAGAUCGAUCUUUUAUAUUUUGCCUCUUGUCUGCAUAGCUUAUCCACUGGAUGAUUGACUGUGAAGCCGUUUAAAACUGGAGAGAGCUUUCAAUAAUCUUUUAAAAUAACAGAACAAUCUGAGACUUUUGUUCUGUGUAAUGAAAUAAAAUUCUUGGGACACAUUGUGACAGUUGCACAACCUAACCAUAAUUUUCUGUUUGUUAACUUUACACGAAGGCAAACUAAACAGGAACUUAGAAGAGUUGAUUAAAUUAGGGGUUAAACAAAAUGUACCUGAAUUUUGAGUUGUUGUGAGGUACACUGUAUUUGAAUAUUUACUCUAUAAGCUUCAUAAUUGUACCUGCAAUAUCUGAUUCAGUUGCUAUAAUUUUUGCAAAUUAUUUGCACUCUACAUGUGCUUUGAUUCUGCAGGUACAGUAUGGAUAACCUGAGAUAAACAUGUAGACCUUUUUUAUAACAUUGUCUGGAUUGUUCUCAACCAAGUGAUUUACAUCAUUAAAGAUGAAAAGCAAGAAAUUCACAUCAAGUGAGCCCAUUUUCAAUAAACGAGAAGAAUUCACAGAUGUGUGGCAAUUGAAAA